GAUGAACGCUGGCGGCGUGCCUAAUACAUGCAAGUCGAGCGAACAGACGAGGAGCUUGCUCCUCUGACGUUAGCGGCGGACGGGUGAGUAACACGUGGAUAACCUACCUAUAAGACUGGGAUAACUUCGGGAAACCGGAGCUAAUACCGGAUAAUAUAUUGAACCGCAUGGUUCAAUAGUGAAAGACGGUUUUGCUGUCACUUAUAGAUGGAUCCGCGCCGCAUGAGCUAGUUGGGAAGGUAACGGCUUACCAAGGCGACGAUGCGUAGCCGACCUGAGAGGGUGGUCGGCCACACUAGAACUGAGACACGGUCCAGACUCCUACGGGAGGCAGCAGUAGGGAAUCGUCCGCAAUGGGGGAAAGCCUGACGGAGCAACGCCGCGUGAGUGAUGAAGGUCUUCCGAUCGUAAAACUCUGUUAUUAGGGAAGAACAAAUGUGUAAGUAACUAUGCACGUCUUGACGGUACCUAAUCAGAAAGCCACGGCUAACUACGUG
rnacentral:rRNA from 1 species